GACGAACGCUGGCGGCGUGCUUAACACAUGCAAGUCGAACGAAGUGGCGAACGGGUGAGUAACGCGUAAUCAACCUGCCCUUCAGAGGGGGACAACAGUUGGAAACGACUGCUAAUACCGCAUACUGAAGGAGGGGAUUGCGUCGGAUUAGCUCGUUGGCGGGGGAACGGCCGACCAAGGCGAGGAUCAGUAGCCGGUCUGCGAGGGUGAACGGCAAAAUUGGGACUGAGUCACGGCCCAGACUCCUACGGGAGGCAGCAGUGGGGAAUCUUCCGCAAGGGACGAAAGUCUGACGGAGCAACGCCGCGUGAGUGAUGACGGCCUUCGGGUUGGAAAGCUCUGUUAAUCGGGACGCGGUACCGGAAUAGAAAGCCACGGCUAACUACGUGCCAGCAGCCGCGGUAAUUC
rnacentral:rRNA from 1 species